GGUUAAGCGACUAAGCGUACACGGUGGAUGCCCUGGCAGUCAGAGGCGAUGAAGGACGUGCUAAUCUGCGAAAAGCGCCGGCGAGGUGAUAUGAACCCUUGACCCGGCGAUGUCCGAAUGGGGAAACCCAGUGCAAUCCGUUGCACUAUCGUUAACUGAAUACAUAGGUUAACGAGGCGAACCGGGGGAACUGAAACAUCUAAGUACCCCGAGGAAAAGAAAUCAACCGAGAUUCCCCCAGUAGCGGCGAGCGAACGGGGAGCAGCCCAGAGUCUGAAUCAGCUUGUGUGUUAGUGGAAGCGUCUGGAAAGUCGCACGGUACAGGGUGAAAGUCCCGUACACGAAAGCACACAGGCUGUGAACUCGAAGAGUAGGGCGGGACACGUGGUAUCCUGUCUGAAUAUGGGGGGACCAUCCUCCAAGGCUAAAUACUCCUGACUGACCGAUAGUGAACCAGUACCGUGAGGGAAAGGCGAAAAGAACCCCGGCGAGGGGAGUGAAAAAGAACCUGAAACCGUGUACGUACAAGCAGUGGGAGCACCUUCGGGUGUGACUGCGUACCUUUUGUAUAAUGGGUCAGCGACUUAUAUUCUGUAGCAAGGUUAACCGUAUAGGGGAGCCGAAGGGAAACCGAGUCUUAACUGGGCGUUAAGUUGCAGGGUAUAGACCCGAAACCCGGUGAUCUAGCCAUGGGCAGGUUGAAGGUUGGGUAACACUAACUGGAGGACCGAACCGACUAAUGUUGAAAAAUUAGCGGAUGACCUGUGGCUGGGGGUGAAAGGCCAAUCAAACCGGGAGAUAGCUGGUUCUCCCCGAAAGCUAUUUAGGUAGCGCCUCGUGAACUCAUCUUCGGGGGUAGAGCACUGUUUCGGCUAGGGGGCCAUCCCGGCUUACCAACCCGAUGCAAACUACGAAUACCGAAGAAUGUUAUCACGGGAGACACACGGCGGGUGCUAACGUCCGUCGUGAAGAGGGAAACAACCCAGACCGCCAGCUAAGGUCCCAAAGUCAUGGUUAAGUGGGAAACGAUGUGGGAAGGCCCAGACAGCCAGGAUGUUGGCUUAGAAGCAGCCAUCAUUUAAAGAAAGCGUAAUAGCUCACUGGUCGAGUCGGCCUGCGCGGAAGAUGUAACGGGGCUAAACCAUGCACCGAAGCUGCGGCAGCGACGCUUAUGCGUUGUUGGGUAGGGGAGCGUUCUGUAAGCCGUUGAAGGUGGCCUGUGAGGGUUGCUGGAGGUAUCAGAAGUGCGAAUGCUGACAUAAGUAACGAUAAAGCGGGUGAAAAGCCCGCUCGCCGGAAGACCAAGGGUUCCUGUCCAACGUUAAUCGGGGCAGGGUGAGUCGACCCCUAAGGCGAGGCCGAAAGGCGUAGUCGAUGGGAAACAGGUUAAUAUUCCUGUACUUGGUGUUACUGCGAAGGGGGGACGGAGAAGGCUAUGUUAGCCGGGCGACGGUUGUCCCGGUUUAAGCAUGUAGGCGGAGGUUCCAGGUAAAUCCGGUACCUUUUAACGCUGAGGUGUGAUGACGAGGCACUACGGUGCUGAAGUAACAAAUGCCCUGCUUCCAGGAAAAGCCUCUAAGCAUCAGGUAACACGAAAUCGUACCCCAAACCGACACAGGUGGUCAGGUAGAGAAUACCAAGGCGCUUGAGAGAACUCGGGUGAAGGAACUAGGCAAAAUGGUGCCGUAACUUCGGGAGAAGGCACGCUGAUAUGUAGGUGAAGCCCCUGCGGGUGGAGCUGAAAUCAGUCGAAGAUACCAGCUGGCUGCAACUGUUUAUUAAAAACACAGCACUGUGCAAACACGAAAGUGGACGUAUACGGUGUGACGCCUGCCCGGUGCCGGAAGGUUAAUUGAUGGGGUUAGCGGUAACGCGAAGCUCUUGAUCGAAGCCCCGGUAAACGGCGGCCGUAACUAUAACGGUCCUAAGGUAGCGAAAUUCCUUGUCGGGUAAGUUCCGACCUGCACGAAUGGCGUAAUGAUGGCCAGGCUGUCUCCACCCGAGACUCAGUGAAAUUGAACUCGCUGUGAAGAUGCAGUGUACCCGCGGCAAGACGGAAAGACCCCGUGAACCUUUACUAUAGCUUGACACUGAACACUGGUCCUUGAUGUGUAGGAUAGGUGGGAGGCUUUGAAGCGUGGACGCCAGUCUGCGUGGAGCCAUCCUUGAAAUACCACCCUUUAAUGGCUGGUGUUCUAACGUAGACCCGUAAUCCGGGUUGCGGACAGUGUCUGGUGGGUAGUUUGACUGGGGCGGUCUCCUCCCAAAGAGUAACGGAGGAGCACGAAGGUUAGCUAAUCCUGGUCGGACAUCAGGAGGUUAGUGCAAUGGCAUAAGCUAGCUUGACUGCGAGAGUGACGGCUCGAGCAGGUGCGAAAGCAGGUCAUAGUGAUCCGGUGGUUCUGAAUGGAAGGGCCAUCGCUCAACGGAUAAAAGGUACUCCGGGGAUAACAGGCUGAUACCGCCCAAGAGUUCAUAUCGACGGCGGUGUUUGGCACCUCGAUGUCGGCUCAUCACAUCCUGGGGCUGAAGUAGGUCCCAAGGGUAUGGCUGUUCGCCAUUUAAAGUGGUACGCGAGCUGGGUUUAGAACGUCGUGAGACAGUUCGGUCCCUAUCUGCCGUGGGCGCUGGAGAAUUGAGGGGGGCUGCUCCUAGUACGAGAGGACCGGAGUGGACGCAUCACUGGUGUUCGGGUUGUCAUGCCAAUGGCACUGCCCGGUAGCUAAAUGCGGAAGAGAUAAGUGCUGAAAGCAUCUAAGCACGAAACUUGCCCCGAGAUGAGUUCUCCCUGAGACUUAAAGUCUCCUGAAGGAACGUUAAAGACGAUGACGUUGAUAGGUCGGGUGUGUAAGCGCAGCGAUGCGUUGAGCUAACCGAUACUAAUGAACCGUGAGGCUUAACCUU
rnacentral:rRNA from 1 species